rnacentral:rRNA from 1 species
AUUGAACGCUGGCGGCAGGCCUAACACAUGCAAGUCGAACGAGUGGCGGACGGGUGAGUAAUGUCUGGGAAACUGCCCGAUGGAGGGGGAUAACUACUGGAAACGGUAGCUAAUACCGCGUACCAUCGGAUGUGCCCAGAUGGGAUUAGCUUGUAGGUGAGGUAACGGCUCCCCUAGGCGACGAUCCCUAGCUGGUCUGAGAGGAUGACCAGCCAACGUGGAAAUGAGACACGGGCCAGCUUCCUACGCGUGGAAGCAGUGGGGAAUAUGGUACAAUGGGAGCAAGCGUGAGGCAGGCAUGCCGCGUGUAUGAAGAAGGCCUUCGGGUUGGAAAGUACUGUCAGCGGGGAGGCGUUACCCGCCGAAGAAGAACCGGCUAACUCCGUGCCAGCAGACGCGGUAAUGC